ensembl:snRNA U6 U6 spliceosomal RNA
GUGCUCACUUUGACAGCAUAUAUAUAACAACAGGAACAAUACAGAGAAGAUUAGCAUGGUUCCUACAUAAGGACUACAUGGAAAUUCGUGAAGCAUUCCAUAGUUUA